rnacentral:rRNA from 1 species
GUGGGGAAUAUUGCGCAAUGGGGGAAACCCUGACGCAGCGACGCCGUGUGAGUGAUGAAGGUUUUCGGAUCGUAAAGCUCUGUCGGAUGGGACGAAUAAGAGCUGAGUGAAUAAUUCAGCUCGAUGACGGUACCGUCGAAGGAAGCACCGGCUAACUCCGUGCCAGCAGCCGCGGUAAUACGGAGGGUGCAAGCGUUGUUCGGAAUUACUGGGCGUAAAGCGCGUGUAGGCGGAUAUACAUGUCAGAUGUGAAAUCCCUUGGCUCAACUGAGGAAGUGCAUCUGAAACUGCUUAUCUUGAGUACGAUAGAGGAGAGUGGAAUUCCCAGUGUAGAGGUGAAAUUCAUAGAUAUUGGGAAGAACACCGGUGGCGAAGGCGGCUCUCUGGAUCGAUACUGACGCUGAUACGCGAAAGCGUGGGGAGCAAACAGGAUUAGAAACCCCGGUAGUCC